rnacentral:rRNA from 1 species
CCGGAUUUAUUAGGUUUAAAGGGUGCGUAGGCGGUAUUUUAAGUCAGAGGUGAAAGAUUGUAGCUCAACUAUGAUAAGCCAUAUAAACUGGAAUACUUGAAUGCACAUGAAGUAGGCGGAAUGUGUUGUGUAACGGUGAAAUGCAUAAAUAUAACACAGAACACCAAUUGCGAAGGCAGCUUACUAAAGUGUAACUGACGCUGAGGCACGAAAGCGUGGGGAUCGAACAGGAUUAGAUACCCUGGUAGUCCACGCUGUAAACGAUGUUCACUCGUUGUUGGCGAUAAACAGUCAGCGACUAAGCGAAAGCGAUAAGUGAACCACCUGGGGAGUACGGCGGCAACGCUGAAACUCAAAGGAAUUGACGGGGGCCCGCACAAGCGGAGGAACAUGUGGUUUAAUUCAAUGAUACGCGAGGAACCUUACCUGCGCUAGAAAAAGAUUGACCGGCUUGAAUACAGGCUUUCUCUUCAGCGCUAUCUAUUAGGUGCUGCAUGGUUGUCGUCAGCUCGUGCCGUGAGGUGUCGGGUUAAGUCCCAUAACGAGCGCAACCCUCAUUGUUAGUUACCAUCAAGUAAAGUUGGGGGACUCUAACGAGACUGCUCGGCGUAAGCCGUGAGGAAGGUGGGGAUGACAUCACAUCAGCUCGGCCCUUAUGUCCAGGGCUACACACGUGUAACAAUGGCCCAUACAGAGGGCAGCAAUACCGUAAGGUGGAGCAAAUACUCAAAGUUGGUCUUAGUUCGGAUCGGGAGUCUGCAACUCGACUCCGUGAAGCUGGAUUCACUAGUAAUCGCAGAUCAGC